rnacentral:lncRNA from 1 species
CUAACAACUAAACUCACGUGCCCUCGGCAUAAUCUGAUGCAAAAACAACAAUCUGGGUCCACCAUCAACCUCAACGGUACCCGACAAUCCGGAAUAGCCUAAACAUUGCUGUAAAAAUACAUUCGGCACUUCAGCACGAGCGUAAAUAUAUUCUACACUAUUCUGGAUAUCCACCGCCUACAAACUGCGGUGAUACAAACAAACUACGGUUCCUAAAACUAAAUCUGAUAGUUUGCUCAAAUGACAGUGUAGAAACGUCAGUUUUCUCUUAAGUCAAAUCCAAGUCCAACAUGCAUAUUUUAACUAAUUUUCUACGCUCCAAUUCAAGUUCAAAAACAUGCAAU